rnacentral:rRNA from 1 species
GGGGCGUAGCAAUACGUUCGCUGGCGACCGGCAAACGGGUGCGGAACACGUACACAACCUUCCUUAAAGUGGGGGAUAGCCCGGGGAAACCCGGAUUAAUACCCCGUAACAUAGUGAAGUGGCAUCGCUUUAUUAUUAUAGCAGUAAUGCGCUUAAAGAUGGGUGUGCGACUGAUUAGGCAGUUGGCGGGGUAACGGCCCACCAAACCUACGAUCAGUAACUGGUGUGAGAGCACGACCAGUCACACGGGCACUGAGACACGGGCCCGACUCCUACGGGAGGCAGCAGUAAGGAAUAUUGGUCAAUGGACGCAAGUCUGAACCAGCCAUGCCGCGUGGAGGAUGAAGGUCCUCUGGAUUGUAAACUUCUUUUACCUGGGAAGAAAUCCACAAAUUCUUUUGUGGUUGACGGUACCAGGUGAAUAAGCACCGGCUAACUCCGUGCCAGCAGCCGCGGUAAUACGGAGGGUGCAAGCGUUAUCCGGAUUCACUGGGUUUAAAGGGUGCGUAGGUGGGUUGGUAAGUCAGUGGUGAAAUCUCCAGGCUUAACUUGGAAACUGCCAUUGAUACUAUCAAUCUGGAAUACCGUGGAGGUCAGCGGAAUAUGUCAUGUAGCGGUGAAAUGCUUAGAUAUGACAUAGAACACCAAUUGCGAAGGCAGCUGGCUACGCGGAUAUUGACACUGAUGCACGAAAGCGUGGGGAUCAAACAGGAUUAGAUACCCUGGUAGUCCACGCCCUAAACGAUGGAUACUCGACAUACGCGAUAUACUGUGUGUGUCUGAGCGAAAGCAUUAAGUAUCCCACCUGGGAAGUACGAUCGCAAGAUUGAAACUC